AACAGGUCGCUAGAGAAAAAAUAUUUGUUCAAAAUUGAGCAACAUUCAGUGAUUAAAUUUCUCACUAAAGAAGGAAAUACGCCUUCGCAGAUAAAUAACGUAUGUUGCCCGUGUUUGGUGAUUCGUGUCCUUCCGAUUUCACAAUUAAGUUCUGGUCUAAGCAAUUUAAAUCGGGCCGCGAAAGCCUAGAAGACGAUCCUCGUAGUGGACGACCAAUUUCUGCCAUCACUGAAGGUAAUGUGACCAAAGUGAAAAAUGUAAUUCUUGAAGACCGACGAGUGAAACAGUGGGAGAUAGCUAGAGAUGUGGGCAUUAGUAAGGAACGGGUAAAUGAAAUAAUUCAUGGCUAUUUGAACAUGUCUAAGGUUAGUGCCCGUUGGGUCCCCAAAAUGCUGA